rnacentral:rRNA from 1 species
CUGAACUUAAGCAUAUCAAUAAGCGGAGGAAAAGAAACCAACAGGGAUUGCCUCAGUAACGGCGAGUGAAGCGGCAAGAGCUCAAAUUUGAAAUCCGCCCCUGGGGGCCUGAGUUGUAAUUUGCAGAGGAUGCUUCGGGCGCGACCGCGGUCCAAGUCCCCUGGAACGGGGUGUCGUAGAGGGUGAGAAUCCCGUCUCGGCCGGCCGGUCUCGCCCGUGUGAAGCUCCUUCGACGAGUCGAGUUGUUUGGGAAUGCAGCUCCAAAUGGGUGGUAAAUUUCAUCUAAAGCUAAAUACUGGUCGGAGACCGAUAGCGCACAAGUAGAGUGAUCGAAAGAUGAAAAGCACUUUGAAAAGAGAGUUAAACAGCAUCGUGAAAUUGUUGAAAGGGAAGCGCUUGCGACCAGAGUCGGCCGUGGGGGUUCAGCGGGCAUUCGUUGCCCGUGCAAUCCCCCGCGGCCGGGCCAGCGUCGGUUUCGACGGCCGGUCAAAGGCUCCCGGAAUGUGUCGCCUCUCGGGGCGUCUUAUAGCCGGGGGUGCAAUGCGGCCAGUCGGGACCGAGGAACGCGCUCCGGCACGGACGCUGGCUU